UACGGAGGGUGCAAGCGUUGUCCGGAUUUAUUGGGUUUAAAGGGUGCGUAGGUGGCGUCUUAAGUCUGGUUUGAAAGCUGGGGGCUCAACCUUUAGAUGUGGCUGGAAACUGGGGCGCUUGAAUGAGCUGGCGGCUGCCGGAACGGGUCAUGUAGCGGUGAAAUGCAUAGAUAUGACCCAGAACCCCGAUUGCGAAGGCAGGCAGCUACGGCUCGAUUGACACUGAGGCACGAGAGCAUGGGGAGCGAACAGG
rnacentral:rRNA from 1 species